AUAAAAUAAAAAUUCUAUUUAUAUCGUACGGCGCAAAAAAAAAAUUUUUUUGUGCGACUAAAUUUAAUAUAUGUAAAUUUAAAAUAUAAUGAUAAAUAGAAGGAAAAUUAAUUGGCAUAUAUUUACAACUAUCAGAUAAUGAUUGAUCUGACGCAAUCGUUUUAGUAUAAAGACCCCCUCUUUCUUUUCCAAGUAUGUACUUAUUCAUAAUCUCUUCAUCUUGAUAUCAAUUUAAAAUUGCGCGAAAGAAUAAUAGAAAAAUGGCUGGAUUUAAAUCAAUUGGAUUAUUGGUGAUGUUGAUUGCAACAAUUCUAAUGAUGAUAGCUCCCUCCGCAAUGGCAUGCCUUCAAAAGGAUCAAAGAUGUAAAAAAGAUGGCACUUUGGGCGAUUGUUGUGAAGGAUACUACUGUAGCCAAUAUUCAGGACAUGGAUCUGGUAAAUGCAAAGUUAGUCAUCAAUUGCCAUUUUAAAUAUUUAUUAUAAAAUAGUAAUCAAUAAUAAUUAUUUAGAAUUGGUAUAAAUGGUUAUCAAUCCUGUAAAAUUCUAUACUCGUUUAUUGUUUGCAAUACAGAAAAAAAGAUGUAUCUUUUAAAUCAUUAAACAAUUUCAGUAAU